CUGCUCGCUUAGGCAGCACGUACACUAAAGUUGGAACAACACAGAAAAGAUUAGCAUGGCCCCUGCGCAAGGAUGACACGCAGAUUCGUGAAGCUUCCAUAUUUUU